rnacentral:rRNA from 1 species
GGAAGACAGCCUACUGGGUUGUAAACCUCUUUUUUCAGGGAGGAAAAAAAUGACGUGUACCUGAAGAAUAAGCAUCGGCUAACUCCGUGCCAGCAGCCGCGGUAAGACGGAGGAUGCAAGUGUUAUCCGGAAUUACUGGGCGUAAAGCGUCUGUAGGUGGUUUAAUAAGUCAACUGUUAAAUCUUGAGGCUUAACUUCAAAACAGCAGUCGAAACUAUUAGACUAGAGUAUAGUAGGGGUAAAGGGAAUUUCCAGUGGAGCGGUGAAAUGCGUAGAUAUUGGAAAGAACACCGAUGGCGAAAGCACUUUACUGGGCUAUUACUAACACUCAGAGACGAAAGCUAGGGUAGCAAAUGGGAUUAGAUACCCCAGUAGUCCUAGCUGUAAACAAUGGAUACUAGAUGUUGAACAGAUCGACCUGUGCAGUAUUAAAGCUAACGCGUUAAGUAUCCCGCCUGGGAAGUAUGCUCGCAAGAGUGAAACUCAAAGGAAUUGACGG